GACGAACGCUGGCGGCGUGCUUAACACAUGCAAGUCGAACGGAAAGGCCCUGCUUUUGUGGGUUUCUCGAGUGGCGAACGGGUGAGUAACACGUGAGUAACCUGCCCUUGACUUUGGGAUAACUUCAGCAAACUGCGGCUAAUACCGGAUAGGAUCUCCUGCUGCAUGGUUGGGGUUGGAAAGUUUCGUCGGUUGGGGAUGGACUCGCGGCUUAUCAUCUUUUUGGUGGGGUAGUGGCUUACCAAGGCUUUGACGGGUAGCCGGCAUGAGAGGGUGACCGGCGAAAAGGGGACGGAGAGAGGGCACAGACGCCAACGGGAGGCAGCAGGGGGGAAUAUGGCACAAUGGGCGGAAGCGUGAGGCAGAAACGCCGCGAGCGGGAUGACGGACUAGGGGGUGUAAACCGCUUUAGGCGGAGACGAAGGGUGAGUGACGGUAAUGGGUAAAGAAGCACCGGCUAACUACGUG
rnacentral:rRNA from 1 species